CACUACGAAGCUUAGAGCGUUAACCUUUUAAGUUAAAGUUAGGGACCCCAAAUCUCCGUGGUGA
rnacentral:tRNA from 1 species